CAUUAUUACAAUGAAGGGAAGAAAGGAAGACAUGAAGGGGAAAUGGGACUAUUUACCAAGUGUAUCUGCAUAGACUAAAGGAGACAAGAGGAAGUACUGAGCACCUUGAUUCCUGCAGAAAAUUAAUUAUUUGAGAAGCAUAAGAAUUCUUCCCUAGCUUCUUAUAAGCCUGCUUAUUCAAAGGAUUCAAACAUUUUAACCACAAAGAACAAAACAACCUCAACUGAGAGCAGGCUUGAUUUAGGUUAACUGCAGUGAAUGAAACUAUUGGAUUAUAAUUCCAUGAAGAUAAGAAAAAGCUCCAGAUGGUUUUCAUCCUAUCACCAGGACCUGCACAGUGUGAGUGCCUGGUGCAUAACAAACUUUAUUAUUUAUCUCUUCUCUCUUUCUUCCCCCAACCAUGUGUAUACAUACA